rnacentral:lncRNA from 1 species
GAUGUUAUACUUAAGAAUGGUGACUAUAAGUAAUUCUUUAACCUAAUAAGAGGUAUGUAAAAUAUGAUAAAAUAGAGGCUAGAUAGCUAGUGGAUAAAUGAAUCAAUAUGAGAUAUGACGGCAUGAUGGUGUUAUGGCUUAUAUUAUGAAACUAGAGAGUAUUGUAUUUAAGCUUAAUAAUUUGAGAUCCCUAUCCCUAAUAUUUUUCUUGCUUAUUAAGCUCUUAAUUCUCUUCUUGUGCAAUUUAACUAGCUUAAAACCACACACACACACACACACACACACACACACACACACACACACACAU